rnacentral:rRNA from 1 species
GACGAACGCUGGCGGCGUGCUUAACACAUGCAAGUCGAGCGAGCCUUCGGGCUAGCGGCGAACGGGUGAGUAACACGUGGGCAAUCUGCCCCUAGCUCUGGGAUAACUCCGGGAAACCGGGGCUAAUACCAGAUACGACCUCGAGAGGCAUCUCUCUUGUUGGCAAGAGUUAUCGGCUAGGGAUGAGCCCGCGGCCUAUCAGCUUGUUGGUGGGGUAAGGGCCUACCAAGGCGACGACGGGUAGCCGGCCUGAGAGGGCGACCGGCCACACUGGGACUGAGACACGGCCCAGACUCCUACAGGAGGCAGCAGUGGGGAAUAUUGCACAAUGGGCGAAAGCCUGAUGCAGCGACGCCGCGUGAGGGAUGACGGCCUUCGGGUUGUAAACCUCUUUCAGCAGGGACGAAGCGAAAGUGACGGUACCUGCAGAAGAAGCACCGGCCAACUACGUGCCAGCCGCCGCCGUAAAAC